UAAUAUGCGAUGAAAAGGACAUGAAUUAUUUUUACUGUUAUCAGAGAGGGAAGGAUAGGUGUGAGCUUCCUAGCAAAGGAAAAUAAUUUACCACCUUUGAGCUAUAUUGGUGAACGAGAAGUAGUCAAUAUCGUGUAUGCAGCGUUACUGCACCAAGCCAUAAGAAAACCACUGUGUUUUUUUAUGGGAAUUUGGGUGGAACCACGGGUGAAAACACUCGUCCCUUUC
rnacentral:ncRNA from 1 species